GGUCGCCUCCUAAAUAGUACCCUAUGUGCUGCUGCUUCACGAAAGCGAGGUACCCGAAGGCUGCAAUGCUGCCUCUGUGCUCCUCCAUGCUAGAAGGACGUCCUGAACGCCUCACCGGUCCCACCAGACCGUGAUUUCCACCAGACACACCACGUUUUCUCUUCCCGUACAGGUGGGACCGUGGCCCGUUUGACCCCGGAGCCCUGGCACGCGGUCCAGGCUGAGGUCACGAGUGUCGAAGUCAUGGGACUAUUAUGAUGUCCGACGGCACAACAGCAGCGACACGGUGCCCGGGGUUAUACCCAAUGCUGAGAGGUUGUCUGUGUCUUCGGAUUGUCUGGGUAGGUCUUGAAAUGCAGGCUUUGAUGUAUUCUGUUGCUUUCUUGCUUUCCUGGUUCAGGCAGAAGGGCCAACCAGGUCACUCUAAGUCCAUCUUAAACCAAAGAAGAUGGGUCGGUUAUCAGCGGAGAAUUAUAACGUAGCUGAAACAGUGGCACAGAGCUCUAACUAGUAUAUUGUGAUGCUACUGGUCUUCUUACAAGUUGUGUGUCCUCAGGAUGGUAGAGGAAUGAAAGAGACAAGCCAAGAGUUGGUAUGGGGGAGCCAUAGUGGAGAAGGACAUGAACUAUUUCAUGGGAGAUGAUUGAAACGGAAGAGGACCGUUGAGAUAGGGUUCAUGUUCUACCUACUGCAACAGCCUUUCUCCCCCUGACGUCUAUAUGCAUCUCAGAGGUUGGGUAGGAAGGAAUUUUUCUUUUACACAGAGGAGUAAACUGGGCAUGGGGAGGUAUGGGAAGCAAUGGUGGUGGAUCCUACACAUAGAUCAAAGGAGGCUUCCUAUUAAUAACAGCCCAUUCUUAGGGCUGGGCAGUUAAAGAGGGGAGGUAUGCUAGCUUGGAAUGAUGAUGGACCAGAGUCAUGGCUUUGGGAAGGACAAAGACUUCAUACCCAAGUUUAACAAGCAUUUUGUUUCCAUCGAUGACUGGGGAAAACAUUUCAGAUAAUCAUUUGAGACAAUAGUUUCUGCCACGUAGAAAAGAGGGAAUCUGAGUAUUAAGUCCCAUGAAGGAUGUUAAUCACUUUCUGGGAUAACAAGGAAAUUCAGGUAAAAGGCACCAGUGUUCCUUUCUAGAGCUGGCUAGAAGUUUUACAGCAUUUUGAGGUCAGUCAUUUGAGGGAUGCGGAUUUUAAAGUUUUGUUGGGUAGGGUAAACACACAUAGCGCUUUGUUGCUCUUAAAUCCCAUUAAAAUAACAGGAGCAAGACAACUUGACUUGAAGACCACUUCUCCAUUCUCAUUUCCUCUUUCCAUCGGCACUUUGCGGGAAUCCUAAGGACAAAGUCAUCUAAAUGUCAAGACCACAGUUGCUCAAGGAGGGUCUGCUAAGUCGCCAAACCACAUGCAUAGGUGGGACAAAUAGGACCGAAAUGUUUGCAAGGACAGUUGUGGUCACCCGUUUCUGGCCCCCUCUUUUCCAAACAAGAUGUGAAACUUCAUCAAUUCUUGUUGACCAGCAUCAUCACCAAAGAUAAAUUAAUGUGAUCCCCUAGUACAAUGUGUCCAUGGAGCUCUUUUAUUUUCUUCCAUAAUUCUGUCAUUUGUAUAAUUCUCCACCAAUAAAUUAGGGAGGGUAGAAAAUCUCCUUCAAAUACAGGGGAGUAGGAAUCAUUGUUCCUGUGAUUCUCAAUGCACUUAAAUCUUGGCAGUUGAGGUCUGAAGAUGGUUGUGGAAAAUAUACACAGGCAGUCGUUGACACGGCCGGGAUGUACGCGAAAGCAAUCGCUUAGUAUGUGGGGAAAAAUGGCCAAAACACAAUUCUCUAAGUAUGGGGUUUUUGAAACAAUGCAUUAAAUUCACAGUGUAUUUUCAGCUUUCAUGUAUCAAAAUGUUGGUGUAAUUUUAUUGAUCUAAAAUAUCAAACUACUUUAGAAAAAUGAAUUAUUUAGGCUAUAUGUUUUGAUUUUCCUUGCUCGUGAAAAUAGGUUUUAUCUGAGUUUUUCUAUCAUGUCUCAGAAUUACAAUAAUUUUGUCUUUAAAGGAAAAUAAUCUUUAUACCAUAAAAUAACGGAUGGAUAACCAAGGCAUGUGGUAGUCUGUCUCAGGCUUCUUUCAGAAAAUGAGUAAAAUUACUGAAAAUUGUCCUGUAAUGUGUAGCCUAGACUUGGGCUGAAAAAGGCAAUACUUUAUUCUUCCUCUGUGGAAUUUAUGUUCUGAAACUUCCAGUAAACCAUAGGGCUGCAUUUCUGUACAAAAAAAAAAAAAAAAUUGCAACCAAUAAUAAUGCUUGAGACUGUAUUGGAUGAAACCAUGCAAAUAAAAUUAUAUAAGCUGAACUAGUAUGUUUGGCAGGCACUGUAGAAGGGCUGUCCAAAAUGUAGUUUUCAGCCAUUUUCACGUCCUUUCUGAAAGAAACUACUGCAAACACUCAGUCUUCCCUGACUUACAGCCGUGUUACAAAGUUUUGUUUAAAGAGGUGUAGUAGGAAGUUGUGGAGGGUCCUUGUAGGAAAAAGGCCUUGAAGUUCUGCCCCUUCCCUGUCACCUGAAAAUGCUAACUCGCUGGGUGUCCUACAUCUCAGAUGCAUGUGUGUACAUAGAAAAAGUAUGCUAUGUAAAUACAGAUAAGCUCUAUACGCCUCUGUACAUGCAGGGAUAUAUACACAUUGUUACUGGUCUUGGUUCAACAAAAUUGAGUCAAAGAUGGAUGGAUCUGAAAUACUUUGAGGGUCCACUUCAUUCCUUUCUAUAAUGUUUUACCAUUGAGUUCCCCCCAUCCAUUUAUUCAAAGAGGUCUGUGCCUGUGUCAUUGGUGUCUUCAAGCCUUUUGAGCCUGGUAACGACAAAGUCAUGGACCAAAGCGUCCCUGGGUACUUUGCAGGUGACUGCCUUGUGAAGACAGGGUGCAUCUUACUCUGUGUCCAGGAACGGAACCCAGAGACCGGCACCACCAACUGGAAGAGGGACAGGGAUGCAAUAGGACGAUCCUGGCAGAGCCUACAGGUGAUGUUUUUCCAGUGAUUUUUAAGAAAUAGACAUUUCUCCAAAGAAGACACCUAGAUGGCCAACAGACACAUGAAAAGGUACUCAGCAUCCCUCAUCAUCAGGGAAAUGCAAAGCAAAACCACAGCGUGUUAUCACCUCCCACCUGUCAGAAUGGCUAAAAUCAGCGACACAGAAAACAACAGGUGUUGGCGAGGAUGCAGAGAAAGGGGAACCCUCGUGCACUGUUGGUGAGAAUGGGGAGCUGGUGCAGCCACUCUGGAAAACAGCAUGGAGGUUCCUCAGAAAGUUCAGAGAAUUCCCAGUGGAUCCAGCAAUUCCGCUCCUGGGUGUUUACCCAAAGAAAAUAAGAACCCUAAUGUGUGAAGAGAUAUAUGCACCCCUGUGUUUACAGCAGCAGUGUUGACAGCAGCUAGGAUUCGGAAGCAGCCCAGGUGUCUAAGGAUGGUGACUGGAUAGAUAUGUUGCGUGUGUGUGUGUGUGUGUGUGUGUGUGUGUGUGUGUGUAUACAGACAGAAUGGGCUAUUACCCAGCCAGGAUCUACAGGGUAUUUAUGCCAAGUGAAAUAAAUCAGAGAGACAAAGACAAACGUAAUAUGAUUUCACUUACACAUGGAAUCCUAAAUACAAAUAAAAAAACAAAAAACAAAAAAAAAACCACCAGUAAUAGUCCCAUAAAUAGAACUGGUGGUUGCUAGAAGGGAGAGAGGGAGGAGAUGGGUAAAAUGGGGAAGGAGAGUAGGGGGCAUGGGCCUUCAGUUAUAGAAUAGAUCAUGGGAUGGGAGGCACAGUUAAGAGUAUUAUAAUAGGGUCAUAUAGUCAUAUGGUCACAGAUGGUAGCUACAACUGGAAUGAGCAUUAGCACAACACACAGACAAAUUGAAUCACUAUGUCGUAUACCUGAAUGUAACCCAGAGUGUCAACUAUAGCAAAAAAGAAUAAUAAUUUGUAAUGGCACAAGUGUGUUUCCAUUAUUUUACGUUUGUGAUAAAGAUCCACAGGAAUGAGCCGUUUUAAUAAAAUAUGUAAAUAAGUAGAGAAAAUCCUCAUGGAACCUCUAAUGCACAGUUUUCUAUUAUCACUAGACGGUAUGUAGUGAAUAGGUUUAACAUUCACAUUGGAAGUAUGUUAACGUCUGUGUGUUUUUGCAAAUUGCUACGUUCUUGUUUUUGUUAUGCGUCGAUCCAGCCACUUCUUUCAAACAGUGGAGUAUGCCUACGGAUCAAAGUCCUUUUCCGGGUUUUUAAUGUUAUGGAAAAGAACACAUUGUCAGUUCCUUUUUGUGUCCAUAUGAAAGCAAUUAUUAUGGCUUUAUUUAUAUGAGAAAGCUUGUGCAAGAGCAGGGGAGAGGGACCAAGGGAGACAGAGAAACACUCCCUGCUCAUAAUGGAAACCAGUUCCAGCUAGAUUCCAGGACCCUAGGACCAUGACCUGAGCCACCCCGGUGCCCCUUUAUGAAAGCAUUUCUUUCAGGCACUUAGCUCCAUGCUUUUUGUAAGAACAACACUCAGAUGUCCAACAAAAGUACAGUCUCCCCGAUUUAUCAAUUUUAGUCUAAGGCCCAAGAGUGGAGUUUUUGGUUUCCAUGGCUAGCCAGCAGAAGACUUGAGAUCUAACUCAGUUUGCCCAAAAAACACAGGACUGAACCUCCUGCUUUUAUGCUUAAGAGUGUUGCUGAGUACUGUGACAAGAGGUUUUCUACUUUUGAAAAUGCAAAAUUGGGGCGCCUGGGUGGCUCAGUGGGUUAAGCCGCUGCCUUCAGCUCAGGUCAUGAUCUCAGGGUCCUGGGAUCGAGUCCCGAAUCGGGCUCUCUGCUCAGCAGGGAGCCUGCUUCCUCCUCUCUCUCUGCCUACCUC